rnacentral:rRNA from 1 species
CAACGCGAAGACCUUACUACCUUGACAUGUCCGGAACUUGCCAGAGAUUGGCUUUGGUAGCCGAAAGGGAAUCGGAACACAGGUGCUGCAUGGCUGUCGUCAGCUCGUGUCGUGAGAUGUUGGGUUAAGUCCCGCAACGAGCCGCAACCCUUAUCAUUAGUUGCUACGCAAGGGCACUCUAAUGAGACUGCCGGUGACAAACCGGAGGAAGUGGGGAUGACGUCAAGUCCUCAUGGCCCUUAUGGGUAGGGCUUCACACGUCAUACAAUGGUCGGUACAGAGGGUUGCCAAGCCGCGAGGCGGAGCCAAUCCCACAAAGCCGAUCGUAGUCCGGAUUGUUCUCUGCAACUCGAGAGCAUGAAGUCGGAAUCGCUAGUAAUCGCAGGUCAGCAUACUGCGGUGAAUACGUUCCCGGGUCUU